rnacentral:tRNA from 1 species
UAGGACUUGCGAGAUAACCCCCACAUAUUCUGAAUGCAACCCAGAUACUUUUAUUAAGCUAAAG